UGGGGAAUAUUGCACAAUGGGCGAAAGCCUGAUGCAGCAACGCCGCGUGAGUGAUGAAGGUCUUCGGAUUGUAAAGCUCUGUCUUUUGGGACGAUAAUGACGGUACCAAAGGAGGAAGCCACGGCUAACUACGUGCCAGCAGCCGCGGUAAUACGUAGGUGGCGAGCGUUGUCCGGAUUUACUGGGCGUAAAGGGUGCGUAGGCGGGUGUUUAAGUGAGAUGUGAAAUACCCGGGCUUAACUUGGGUGCUGCAUUUCAAACUGGAUAUCUAGAGUGCAGGAGAGGAGAAUGGAAUUCCUAGUGUAGCGGUGAAAUGCGUAGAGAUUAGGAAGAACACCAGUGGCGAAGGCGAUUCUCUGGACUGUAACUGACGCUGAGGCACGAAAGCGUGGGUAGCAAACAGGAUUAGAUACCCUGGUAGUCCACGCCGUAAACGAUGAGUACUAGGUGUAGGAGGUAUCGACCCCUUCUGUGCCGCAGUAAACACAUUAAGUACUCCGCCUGGGAAGUACGAUCGCAAGAUU
rnacentral:rRNA from 1 species